rnacentral:rRNA from 1 species
CGAGCGAACGGACGAGAAGCUUGCUUCUCUGAUGUUAGCGGCGGACGGGUGAGUAACACGUGGAUAACCUACCUAUAAGACUGGGAUAACUUCGGGAAACCGGAGCUAAUACCGGAUAAUAUUUUGAACCGCAUGGUUCAAAAGUGAAAGACGGUCUUGCUGUCACUUAUAGAUGGAUCCGCGCUGCAUUAGCUAGUUGGUAAGGUAACGGCUUACCAAGGCAACGAUGCAUAGCCGACCUGAGAGGGUGAUCGGCCACACUGGAACUGAGACACGGUCCAGACUCCUACGGGAGGCAGCAGUAGGGAAUCUUCCGCAAUGGGCGAAAGCCUGACGGAGCAACGCCGCGUGAGUGAUGAAGGUCUUCGGAUCGUAAAACUCUGUUAUUAGGGAAGAACAUAUGUGUAAGUAACUGUGCACAUCUUGACGGUACCUAAUCAGAAAGCCACGGCUAACUACGUGCCAGCAGCCGCGGUAAUACGUAGGUGGCAAGCGUUAUCCGGAAUUAUUGGGCGUAAAGCGCGCGUAGGCGGUUUUUUAAGUCUGAUGUGAAAGCCCACGGCUCAACCGUGGAGGGUCAUUGGAAACUGGAAAACUUGAGUGCAGAAGAGGAAAGUGGAAUUCCAUGUGUAGCGGUGAAAUGCGCAGAGAUAUGGAGGAACACCAGUGGCGAAGGCGACUUUCUGGUCUGUAACUGACGCUGAUGUGCGAAAGCGUGGGGAU